rnacentral:rRNA from 1 species
CCUACGGGAGGCAGCAGUGGGGAAUAUUGGACAAUGGGCGAAAGCCUGAUCCAGCAAUGCCGCGUGAGUGAUGAAGGCCUUAGGGUUGUAAAGCUCUUUUACCAGGGAUGAUAAUGACAGUACCUGGAGAAUAAGCUCCGGCUAACUCCGUGCCAGCAGCCGCGGUAAUACGGAGGGAGCUAGCGUUGCUCGGAAUCACUGGGCGUAAAGCGUGCGUAGGCGGUGACUCAAGUCAGAGGUGAAAGCCUGGAGCUCAACUCCAGAACUGCCUUUGAAACUAGGUCGCUAGAACAUCGGAGAGGUGAGUGGAAUUCCGAGUGUAGAGGUGAAAUUCGUAGAUAUUCGGAAGAACACCAGUGGCGAAGGCGGCUCACUGGACGAUUGUUGACGCUGAGGCACGAAAGCGUGGGGAGCAAACAGGAUUAGAUACCCUGGUAGUCCACGCCGUAAACGAUGAUAACUAGCUGCCGGGGCACUUGGUGUUUCGGUGGCGCAGCUAACGCAUUAAGUUAUCCGCCUGGGGAGUACGGUCGCAAGAUUAAAACUCAAAGGAAUUGACGG